UACGUAGGGGGCAAGCGUUGUCCGGAAUUAUUGGGCGUAAAGGGCUCGUAGGCGGUCUGUCGCGUCGGGAGUGAAAACUCAGGGCUUAACCCUGAGCCUGCUUCCGAUACGGGCAGACUAGAGGUAUGCAGGGGGAGAACGGAAUUCCUGGUGUAGCGGUGGAAUGCGCAGAUAUCAGGAGGAACACCGGUGGCGAAGGCGGUUCUCUGGGCAUUACCUGACGCUGAGGAGCGAAAGUGUGGGGAGCGAACAGG
rnacentral:rRNA from 1 species